GAGUGGUUGACAAUAGUGAGGUGGUAGUGUAUUUUUAUUAAGACUCAAUCAUAACAAUUUCCUUCUUUCGGUGGUGGCAAAAAGAAAAGAAAGAAAAAACAAAGAGAGUGGUUGACAAUAGUGAAGAAAAAGUGAAAAAGAGUGGCCAACAUUGUGAGGUGGUAGUGUAUUUUUAUUAAGACUCAAUCAUAACAAUUUCCUUCUUUCGGUGAUGGCAAAAAGAAAAGAAGAAAAAACAAAGAGAAAAGUCCAGAGAAGGGGGGAAAGAGGAGGAGAGUGGGAAAAGAAAAGAAAAAAAGAGGCUUUGAAAAAGGGAAAGAAAAAGAGAAAAAAUGUGCUACUUAAGGGAGGGGGGCGUUGGUUUUAGAGGAGGAUCAGGGGAGGAGAGAGGGACAAAAGGGAAGUGUUCUUGGAGGAGAUUGGGGGCUGCACAAACACAAAAACCAGGAGAAAAAAGGCUGAAAGAAAACAGAAUCGGGAGAAGGAAAGGAGAGUGGAACCAGAGGAGAAGAAGGAAGAGAAAGUCAUUCUACCUUGUUAUCUCUCUAUUUCUGUUUCUAAGAAGGACCCAAAUCGAUGAUAGCAAAAGUGAUGAACCAAGCAAACCAGAUUUUGAGACACCAAUUAGCCAUGUUGAGCUUGACCAUGACGUUGAUGUAGGAAAUGACAUCUCACCAGAAUUACUAAGGCAAAUCAAUCAGGAGGGGAGAAUAAUUCAACCAAUAGAAGCCGUAGAGUCUAUUAAUUUGGGGACUGAAACUGAUGUGAAAGAAGUUAAAAUAGGGGCUGCUUUUGAGGGAAAUGAACGAGGAAAAUUGGUUGAAGUGUUGAGAAAGUACAAGGAUGUGUUCGCGUGGUCCUACCAAGAUAUGCCAGGUCUUGACACAGAUGUAGUGGUUCAUCAUUUGCCGCUAAGACCAGAAUGUAUUCCAGUAAAACAAAAGUUGAGAAGAAUGAAACCAGAGUUGUUAUUAAAAGUGCGAGAUGAUAUUAAGAAACAAUUUGAUGCUGGAUUUCUGGCAGUGGCACGAUACCCUGAAUGGAUAGCAAAUGUUGUACCUGUCCCCAAAAAAGAUGAAAAAAUCAGAGUAUGUGUCGACUACCGUGAUCUUAGCAGGGCAAGCCCAAAAGAUGAUUUUCCGCUGCCUCAUAUUGAUAUGCUGGUGGAUAACACAGCUAAACAUUCAGUUUUCUCCUUCAUGGAUGGGUUUUCAGGGUAUAAUCAAAUAAAGUUGGCGUCAGAAGAUCAAGAGAAGACAACUUUCAUCACCAUGUGGGGAACUUUCUGCUAUAAAGUCAUGCCGUUUGGUUUGAAAAAUGCGGGUGCCACUUAUCAACGGGCUAUGGUAACUCUGUUUCACGAUAUGAUGCACAAAGAAGUUGAGAUAUAUGUAGAUGAUAUGAUUGUGAAAUCCAAGGAAGAUGAAGAUCACCUCCAGAAUCUUGAGAAAUUGUUCCAAAGGCUUCGACAACAUCAGUUGAAGUUAAAUCCAGCUAAAUGCACAUUCGGAGCCACGUCCGGAAAAUUGUUGGGCUUUAUGGUUAGUAGUAGAGGAAUUGAGGUGGAUCCAGAGAAAGUUCGGGCUAUCUUGGAAAUGCCACCUCCUAAAACGGAGAAAGAAGUCAGAGGUUUCUUAGGGCGACUAAAUUAUAUUGCUCGGUUCAUUUCACAGUUAACCGCCACCUGUGAGCCAAUCUUCAAAUUGUUACGCAAGAAUAGCCCUCGGGAAUGGGAUGAGAAUUGUCAGAUAGCCUUCGAGAAAAUCAAGCAGUAUUUGAAAGAUCCCCCUGUGUUGAUACCACCUGUGCCCGGAAGGUCGCUCAUCCUUUAUCUAACGGUGUCUGAAACUUCAAUAGGAUGUGUACUGGGGCAACAUGAUUUAUCCGGACGAAAAGAAUAUGCCAUUUAUUAUCUAAGUAAAAAGUUUGCAGAUUGUGAGACCCGAUAUUCUAUGUUGGAAAAAACUUGUUGUUCUUUAGCUUGGGCGGCGCAUAGACUGCGGCAGUACAUGCUCUAUCAUACAACCUGGCUUAUCUCUAAGAUGGAUCCGAUGAAGUAUUUGUUUGAAAAACCAUCUCUUUCAGGAAGAAUAGCAAAGUGGCAGAUGCUGCUAUCAGAAUAUGACAUUGUGUAUGUUACGCAGAAAUCGGUGAAAGGCAGUGCGAUCGCAGAGUAUUUAGCUGAUCGAGCAAUCCAUGAUUAUCAACCAAUGAAUGUCUGCUUUCCAGACGGUGACGUGAUGCUUUUGUCAGUAAUUGAUAAAGAGAGGGAAUUGAAAGAUGGAUGGACUUUAUUGUUCGAUGGAUCUUCUAAUAUGGUGGGAUCAGGAGUUGGCGCUGCCCUUAUCUCUCCAGAAGGAAAGAUCAUACCGUUUACUGCGAAGUUGUACUUUGAGUGUACUAAUAAUAUUGCUGAGUAUGAAGCUUGCACCAUGGGUAUUCAAGCAGCCAUAGACAAUGGGAUCAAGAAGCUGCAGGUAUAUGGUGACUCUCAGUUAGUAAUUCGCCAGUUGAACGAUGAAUGGGAAACUAAAGAUGAAAAGCUAAUAUCAUAUCACAGAUUCAUUAAAGAGAGAAUCAAAUUCUUUGACAACGUCAAGUUCAAUCAUAUCCCUAGAGAGGAGAAUCAGAUAGCGGACGCAUUGGCCACACUAGCCUCGAUGUUUGAUUUAGAUCCUAAAGGAGAGGUUCAAGUCAUCAAAAUUGAGAAAAGAGAGGCACAUGCUUAUUGUUCAAACAAAGAAGGAGAAUCAGAUGGGAAGCCAUGGUUUCAUGAUAUCAAACGGUAUUUAGAAGAGAAGGAGUAUCCUGAUGGAGUUUUGGAAAAUGACAAGCGAGUGCUUAGGAGGUUGUCCGCGUCCUUUAUGGUGAAUGGCAAUGUUCUAUAUAAACGGAGCUCGGGGAUGAUUUUAUUGAGAUGUGUGGAUGAAGGUGAGGCGAGUCAGAUAAUGAAAGAAGUGCAUGAUGGAUUGUGCGGAACUCAUUCUAGUGGUCAUUCCAUGACAAGGAAGAUAAUGAGAGCAGGGUAUUAUUGGUUAACCAUGGAGAAAGAUUGUAUUAGAUAUGCCCUCAAAUGUCACCAAUGUCAAAUUUACGCGGACAAGUUUAAUCUUCCGGCGAAUCCCUUGCAUGUAUUGACUGCUCCUUGGCCAUUCUCAAUGUGGGGCUUAGAUGUCAUUGGGCCGAUUGAACCAAAAGCUUCUAAUGGUCAUCGAUUCAUAUUAGUAGCCAUCGAUUAUUUUACCAAGUGGGUGGAAGCGGUUUCUUUUGCCUCAGUAACCAGCGUAGUAGUGGUACGAUUCAUGAAAAAAGAUAUCAUAUGUCGAUAUGGAGUCCCUGAGAGAAUCAUCACAGAUAAUGGCACCAAUUUCAAUAGUAAGAUGAUGAAAGAGUUAUGUGAGCAGUUCUCCAUUAAGCACCACAAUUCAACGUCUUAUAGGCCGAAGAUGAAUGGAGCAGUCGAGGCAGCUAAUAAGAACAUCAAGAAGAUUAUAGAGAAAAUGACAGUAACUUACAAGGACUGGUCUGAAAAACUUCCUUAUGCAUUAUACGGCUACCGAACGUCAGUGCGGACUUCCACAGGUGAAACUCCAUUCUCCUUAGUUUAUGGGACUGAAGUAGUAUUACCAGUGGAAGUCGAAAUUCCAUCUCUUCGCGUGGCCAUUGAAGCAGAUCUGGAAGAAACGGAGUGGAUCAAUGCAAGAUAUGAGCAGUUGAAUCUGAUUGAAGAGCGAAGGAUGGAAGCGCUUUGUAGAGGUCAGCUAUACCAAAGACGCAUGAUGAGAGCACAUGAUAAGAAGGUUCGCCCUCGAAGUUUUGAGGAGGGCGAUUUAGUCUUGAAAAGGAUUCUUCCCCCUCACAAAGAUCAUCGGGGCAAAUGGACUCCUAACUAUGAAGGACCUUAUGUGGUGAAAAAAGCUUUUUCGGGUGGUUCCUUGAUUCUCACCAAAAUGGAUGGAGAAGACUUGUCUCAUCCUGUGAAUGCAGUUGCGGUGAAAAUGUAUUAUGCUUAAAAAAAAUUAAAAAAAUUAAAAAAAAAAAAAAACCCGCGGUGGUGAAAACCCGAAAGGGCGCUACUGGCAAAAAUUAGGGAAAAACUAAGUGCAUCAAUAAGGAUGGAAAAUGCCCUCUACUGAGGCAGCAGUACUAUAGUAAGAAUCUACAACGAUGGGUUAUUGAGGAAUCAUUAGAGGAGAAUUCAGGCAGUUGGUCAGAUCAGAUUCUUCGUCAUGGUCAUACUAAGCUCAACACGUGUCAAUGGGUGUUUACAAGACUGGGGCAGUGUGGUAUCUCUCUUGCGUUUUCAUUUUUCAGCUGUCUGGAGAUCUUCGAUAUCUUGACAAUUUGUUCUCCAUAUUUCCUACAUCAUUUUUCAUGAGUCUUUGACAUCCUGCUAAUUUGCUUUUCAUUUUCAUUACACUCGUUAAAUUGGGCAACCAAAACUCCAUCCACUUGUAUAUUUUUUUCUUUUUAUCCAAAUAAAAUCAGGAUUCAUGACAUUUAUCACCUUUUAUUCCUUUCAUAAACAUAAAAAUAUUUGUUUUCCUGCCAUACACAUGUGAUUUUCGUAGAAAACGGGUAUUAGGAAAAGCUGGGUGUGGAUGUGAUGCUUGUUCUGACAAUUUAUGUAGGUGUGGCUAGUAGCAGACAGUCUCCGCAAAGUUUGAAAGUCUUGACUUGAAAGCAACAAUCACGAUAAAGCAAUCCUAACUUUAGCUACCAAGAGACAUGUUUUACCAAUGACUGGCAUGAAGAUGCAGAACAGCAAGCAAGACAUAGGAAGAUGAUCAGAAAGGCACACAGACAUAAUCUUACAAUGGACAAAUAGGAAAUGAAAGCAAGGAAAAGAGCUGAAAUGAAACAAGAUGAGAAGAUUCAGAAAUUCAGUGAGUUAUCAUUUACAAAGAUCCAUGACUCUUAGUUCUCUGGCAAUAUCACUAAUCAAACACUCAUGGAUGGCAAGGCCUUGAGAGAACAUGCAUUCAUUACAUGCAUCAUUGUGGCAUAUGGUUUGUCCCUUUUUGUAUUAUGGCAGGUUUAUGCAGAAAAUACAGCUUGGACAUAGUCAUUCUCCUCAAAUCAAAGCAUAUCACUUGCUCGAAACAUCUUCUUGUUAAGGUGAGAUUACAAAACUCCUAAAAAAAAUAAAAAUCAAAUCAAAUCAAAAAAAUCAAAAAUCAUCGUU